UACAGAGGAUGCAAGCGUUAUCCGGAAUGAUUGGGCGUAAAGCGUGUGUAGGCGGCUUUUCAAGUCCGCCGUCAAAUCCCAGGGCUCAACCCUGGACAGGCGGUGGAAACUACCAAGCUGGAGUACGGUAGGGGCAGAGGGAAUUUCCGGUGGAGCGGUGAAAUGCAUUGAGAUCGGGAAGAACACCAACGGCGAAAGCACUCUGCUGGGCCGACACUGACACUGAGAGACGAAAGCUAGGGGAGCAAAUGGG
rnacentral:rRNA from 1 species